rnacentral:rRNA from 1 species
AUGACAGUUUGCCCUUUGAAACGAGCUCAAAGCCAGCAGCAGCAAGCAAGAAAAGCAAGCAGCAAUGGCAAGCUAAACUACCAGCAGCAGCAAAGCAAGCUAGCAGCAACCAGCAGUAGUAGGCAGGCAGAGGUGACUCCUCACCUUGUUGUUCGUGACGGGGUCGGGCGGAGCAGGGAGCCGAGAGGACGGACGACAACGAGUUCCGGACGGUGUCAAUUGCGGUCAGCUGUCGAGGAAGAAGUAGAGGGACGCACGGCUUCGAGUCUAUGGUUAGAGGAGACACAGAUGAUGCGGAGCCCGUCCCUGGAGCUGCUCGGGGAGGAGGAUGACCACGGCGGUGUCGCAACGAUGACCAACGGAACGGAGAAACGCGACCUGGGUUCAAGAGGUUCCGGCACGCUGGUGCCUGGAAUCACCAUUAAAGAGAUGGCUGGAGCAACAAUGGAGCAAGGGAACUACCUAGGAGUAAGAACACACCAGAUAAACGAGGUGGUUUAUGGCGGCGUCCAGUGCGCGGGCGUGCAUGUCGGAGCCGGAGGCGUGGACAUCUAUCCGGACCGAAGCCUGGCGGAUCCCAUCGGUCCCUGUGGCUGGCAUUGCAAUGGCGAGCGGCGGCGUCCCAAGUGA